UGGGGAAUUUUGGACAAUGGGCGAAAGCCUGAUCCAGCAAUGCCGCGUGUGUGAAGAAGGCCUUCGGGUUGUAAAGCACUUUUGUCCGGAAAGAAAUCCUUGGCUCUAAUACAGUCGGGGGAGUGACGGUACCGGAAGAAUAAGCACCGGCUAACUACGUGCCAGCAGCCGCGGUAAUACGUAGGGUGCAAGCGUUAAUCGGAAUUACUGGGCGUAAAGCGUGCGCAGGCGGUUUGCUAAGACCGAUGUGAAAAUCCCCGGGCGUCAACCUGGGAACUGCAUUGGUGAGCUGGGCAGGGCUAGAGUAUGGCAGAGGGGGGUGAGAAUUCCCACGUGUAGCAGUGAAAUGCGUAGAGAUGUGGAGGAAUACCGAUGGCGAAGGCAGCCCCCUGGCCAAGUCACUGACGCUCAUGCACGAAAGCGUGGGGAGCAAAC
rnacentral:rRNA from 1 species